GAAGAAUUGAUUAAGCAGUGUCUUAACAAACCUGAAAUGGUAGGAGUUCUGUUGGAGCAUACUGUUGGCAAUCUCGACCCCCUAUACAUUGUAAAUCUGGUACCUAAUGGCUUGGAAAUUCCUCGGUGAGUACUCCUGGAAUUAGUUGCCAAGUUUUGGCCAAUUUCCUUUUAUCAAUUUCAAGUUUUCCCUUCGAUUUUUAUUUGUAAUAGAUGUAAUCUUAGUGAAAUCAAGGGCUGCCUUGAUUAGGUUUUCGGUACCUAGUCUCCUAGAUCAGUUUUCUGCAAGUUUACUUAAGAUGGCUUGGAAUCUUGGAAUCCACAAACUUGGGAUUCUCGGAUGAGCUUUAGAAUGAUGAGAAGAGAAGGAAGGGAAUGAAUACAAGUUGGAAAUUUUUUUGUGUUAAUCAGAUAUAAAAAACGAUUUCAGCAAUCCUUCCUAGUCAUUAAAUAUUUAGGCAAUGAAAGCUUCAGGUUCCUCACCAACCGAAAUUUACUUGGACUCCUAACCAUCCCAACUUUACUUGGACUCUUUCACUCUUAUAAAACCUGAUAAGAAACAGGCUGUGCUCCUAUAAAAAGUAUAAAACAUUUUAUAGUUUUUAACUCUUCAACUUUUCUUAAAUAAUGGUAUUAGUGUAGCCAAUGUUUGUACCGACUGUGUUUAUUUCUCUGUUGUUCUAUUAUUUUUUCAGCCUUAGGGAUUGCCUAGUCAAAAUUAUUACUGAUUACAGAACUGAAACAUCU
rnacentral:misc_RNA from 1 species